rnacentral:rRNA from 1 species
GACAGAGGAUGCAAGCGUUAUCCGGAAUGAUUGGGCGUAAAGCGUCUGUAGGUGGCUUUUUAAGUCCGCCGUCAAAUCCCAGGGCUCAACCCUGGACAGGCGGUGGAAACUACCAAGCUGGAGUACGGUAGGGGCAGAGGGAAUUUCCGGUGGAGCGGUGAAAUGUGUUGAUAUCGGAAGGAACGCCGGUGGCGAAAGCGACACACUGGGUCUCAACUGACGCUGAGGCACGAAAGCCAGGGGAGCGAACGGG